rnacentral:rRNA from 1 species
UACAGGGGGGGCAAGCGUUGUUCGGAAUUACUGGGCGUAAAGGGCCAGUAGGCGGCCAACUAAGUCACACGUGAAAUCCCCAGGCUUAACCUGGGAACUGCGUGUGAUACUGGAUGGCUUGAAUUCGGGAGAGGGAUGCAGAAUUCCAGGUGUAGCGGUGAAAUGCGUAGAUAUCUGGAGGAAUACCGGUGGCGAAGGCGGCAUCCUGGACCGACAUUGACGCUGAACGGCGAAAGCUAGGGAGCAAACGGG